UGCCUGCCUAGGUCUCCCAAAGUGCUGGGAUUACAGGCGUGAGCCACCGCACCUGGCCAGGUUGGUCUCAAGUUUUUCUGGGAAGUAGGAGGCAAAACUGUCUUCUGAGAGGGUACUUGAAGUAAGGAUGGAAAUUAGGAGUAGCGGGGGAGGUCUAGAAUAGCCAUCAUGGGGACGGGAAAGGAGACUUCCUAGAGGCAGGUCAAAGGAUUGCACAGAUGCACUGAGGAAUGUGAAUUUACAAUUUAUCCCUGAGCAGCAAUAAGCAGUAUAGACCUGGGGUCCAAAAAGGCAGAUGAUGGGAUUAACCCCAGGAUUGCUACCUAUGGAUGAGACCUACAGACAGCAUCUUGACCCAUGCUUGGGGUCUAAAUAGUUAUUAAGCCCAAACCUUUCUAAUUCAACUCCUGGGAACAGUCAGAAGGUAAGUGGCUCAGUCAGAAGGUAAGUGGCUCAGACUAUCAGGCCAUCCCACCCCUGUGUGCCAUUUUAUCUUCCUCCCCUCCUAGGGUCAAGUGACUGGUCUUGCGGGCAGCUCAGAUGCUGUGGGAGCAGAGGGCCAGGGACAACUUAAAGGGGAACAAGCAUGAAUCCCCACAUCCACCACAGCUCGCCUGGCUCUGAGGGACGUGGAGAGCCCGGGUUCAUCUUGGACCGGUUUGCUGAGCUACCAGUGACUUGGAUAGCAUUUCCAGAAGAGAAUACAAAAGCAGUGGUAAUGGCAGUCACCUUUUGUAUUUU